rnacentral:rRNA from 1 species
AACGAACGCUGGCGGCAUGCCUAACACAUGCAAGUCGAACGAGACCUUCGGGUCUAGUGGCGCACGGGUGCGUAACGCGUGGGAACCUGCCCUUAGGUUCGGAAUAACUCCCCGAAAGGGGUGCUAAUGCCGGAUAAUGUCUUCGGACCAAAGAUUUAUCGCCUUUGGAUGGGCCCGCGUUGGAUUAGCUAGUUGGUAGGGUAAAAGCCUGCCAAGGCGACGUUCCAUAGCUGGUCGGAGAGGAUGAUCAGCCACACUGGGACUGAGACACGGACCAGACCCCUACGGAGGGCAGCAGAAGAGAAUACUAGACAAUGGACCAAAGCCUGGUCCAGCAGUGCCACGUAAGUGAGGAAGGCCUUAGGGUUGUAAAGCUCUUUUACCAGGAAUGACAAUGACAGUACCGGGAGAAUAAGCUCCGGCUAACUCCGUG